GGGCCGGAGCCGGGCUCGGCAGCAGCGCAGGCGCGGCGGUGGCCGCGGGAUCCCAGCAGGCUCGAGGGCGGUGGGRCGCGGUGCGGGCCCAGCAUGUCGGAGAAGAAGCAGCCGGUGGAUCUGGGGCUCCUGGAGGAGGACGACGAGUUUGAGGAGUUCCCGGCUGAAGAUUGGACUGGUUUAGAUGAAGAUGAGGAUGCACAUGUCUGGGAAGACAACUGGGAUGAUGACAACGUAGAAGAYGAUUUCUCCAAUCAGUUAAGAGCUGAAUUAGAAAAACAUGGAUACAAGAUGGAAACAUCAUAGUUUUUGCAGAAUAUGGAGUGGUUUAACACUGAACUGUGGAUAGACUUUAUUGAGAAAAGAAGAUGGAAAAUGAGAAGACACACUUAGUUCGUUAUCUGCUUGGAUUUAUUAUUGUUUUGUAUGAAAAAUAAAGUUUUUAAUCUUAGCCGAGUCAUA